UACGGAGGGUGCGAGCGUUGUCCGGAAUCAUUGGGCGUAAAGGGCGCGUAGGUGGCCCGGUCAGUUCGUGGUGAAAGCGCGGGGCUCAACCCUGCGUCGGCCAUGAAUACUGCCGCGGCUGGAGCACUGUAGAGGCAGGCGGAAUUCCGGGUGUAGCGGUGGAAUGCGUAGAGAUCCGGAAGAACACCAGUGGCGAAGGCGGCUAUCUGGACGGUUUCUGACGCUAAGACGCGAAAGCGUGGGGAGCAAACAGG
rnacentral:rRNA from 1 species